rnacentral:rRNA from 1 species
UUCAGGCUUAACACAUGCAAGUCGAGGGGCAGCAUGGUCUUAGCUUGCUAAGGCCGAUGGCGACCGGCGCACGGGUGAGUAACACGUAUCCAACCUGCCGUCUACUCUUGGACAGCCUUCUGAAAGGAAGAUUAAUACAAGAUGGCAUCAUGAGUCCGCAUGUUCACAUGAUUAAAGGUAUUCCGGUAGACGAUGGGGAUGCGUUCCAUUAGAUAGUAGGCGGGGUAACGGCCCACCUAGUCUUCGAUGGAUAGGGGUUCUGAGUGGAAGGUCCCCCACAUUGGAACUGAGACACGGUCCAAACUCCUACGGGAGGCAGCAGUGAGGAAUAUUGGUCAAUGGGCGAGAGCCUGAACCAGCCAAGUAGCGUGAAGGAUGACUGCCCUAUGGGUUGUAAACUUCUUUUAUAAAGGAAUAAAGUCGGGUAUGGAUACCCGUUUGCAUGUACUUUAUGAAUAAGGAUCGGCUAACUCCGUGCCAGCAGCCGCGGUAAUACGGAGGAUCCGAGCGUUAUCCGGAUUUAUUGGGUUUAAAGGGAGCGUAGAUGGAUGUUUAAGUCAGUUGUGAAAGUUUGCGGCUCAACCGUAAAAUUGCAGUUGAUACUGGAUAUCUUGAGUGCAGUUGAGGCAGGCGGAAUUCGUGGUGUAGCGGUGAAAUGCUUAGAUAUCACGAAGAACUCCGAUUGCGAAGGCAGCCUGCUAAGCUGCAACUGACAUUGAGGCUCGAAAGUGUGGGUAUCAAACAGGAUUAGAUACCCUGGUAGUCCACACGGUAAACGAUGAAUACUCGCUGUUUGCGAUAUACUGCAAGCGGCCAAGCGAAAGCGUUAAGUAUUCCACCUGGGGAGUACGCCGGCAACGGUGAAACUCAAAGGAAUUGACGGGGGCCCGCACAAGCGGAGGAACAUGUGGUUUAAUUCGAUGAUACGCGAGGAACCUUACCCGGGCUUAAAUUGCAGAUGAAUUACGGUGAAAGCCGUAAGCCGCAAGGCAUCUGUGAAGGUGCUGCAUGGUUGUCGUCAGCUCGUGCCGUGAGGUGUCGGCUUAAGUGCCAUAACGAGCGCAACCCUUGUUGUCAGUUACUAACAGGUUCCGCUGAGGACUCUGACAAGACUGCCAUCGUAAGAUGUGAGGAAGGUGGGGAUGACGUCAAAUCAGCACGGCCCUUACGUCCGGGGCUACACACGUGUUACAAUGGGGGGUACAGAGGGCCGCUACCACGCGAGUGGAUGCCAAUCCCCAAAACCUCUCUCAGUUCGGACUGGAGUCUGCAACCCGACUCCACGGAGCUGGAUUCGCUAGUAAUCGCGCAUCAGCCACGGCGCGGUGAAUACGUUCCCGGGCCUUGUACACACCGCCCGUCAAGCCAUGGGAGCCGGGGGUACCUGAAGUGCGUAACCGCGAGGAGCGCCCUAGGGUAAAACUGGUGACUGG